GGACUUCGGUCUGGUGGCGAGUGGCGAACGGGUGAGUAAUGUAUCGGAACGUACCUUUCAGUGGGGGAUAACGUAGCGAAAGUUACGCUAAUACCGCAUAUUCUGUGAGCAGGAAAGCAGGGGAUCGCAAGACCUUGCGCUGAUUGAGCGGCCGAUAUCAGAUUAGCUAGUUGGUGGGGUAAAGGCCUACCAAGGCUACGAUCUGUAGCGGGUCUGAGAGGAUGAUCCGCCACACUGGAACUGAGACACGGUCCAGACUCCUACGGGAGGCAGCAGUGGGGAAUUUUGGACAAUGGGGGCAACCCUGAUCCAGCCAUGCCGCGUGAGUGAAGAAGGCCUUCGGGUUGUAAAGCUCUUUCAGCCGGGAAGAAAUCGCAUCAGCUAAUACCUGGUGUGGAUGACGGUACCGGAAUAAGAAGCACCGGCUAACUACGUGCCAGCAGCCGCGGUAAUACGUAGGGUGCGAGCGUUAAUCGGAAUUACUGGGCGUAAAGCGUGCGCAGGCGGUUGUGUAAGACAGGCGUGAAAUCCCCGGGCUCAACCUGGGAACUGCGUUUGUGACUGCACAGCUAGAGUAUGGCAGAGGGGGGUGGAAUUCCACGUGUAGCAGUGAAAUGCGUAGAGAUGUGGAGGAACACCGAUGGCGAAGGCAGCCCCCUGGGCCAAUACUGACGCUCAUGCACGAAAGCGUGGGUAGCAAACAGGAUUAGAUACCCUGGUAGUCCACGCCCUAAACGAUGUCAACUAGGUGUUGGGGAGGGUAAAACCUUUUAGUACCGGAGCUAACGCGUGAAGUUGACCGCCUGGGGGAGUACGGCCGCAAGGUUAAAACUCAAAGGAAUUGACGGGGACCCGCACAAGCGGUGGAUGAAUGUGGAUUAAUUCGAUGC
rnacentral:rRNA from 1 species